rnacentral:rRNA from 1 species
GACGAACGCUGGCGGCGUGCCUAAUACAUGCAAGUUGAGCGAUGAAGAUUGGUGCUUGCACCCAUUUGAAGAGCAGCGAACGGGUGAGUAACGCGUGGGGAAUCUGCCUUUGAGCGGGGGACAACAUUUGGAAACGAAUGCUAAUACCGCAUAACAACUUUAAACAUAAGUUUUAAGUUUGAAAGAUGCAAUUGCAUCACUCAAAGAUGAUCCCGCGUUGUAUUAGCUAGUUGGUGAGGUAAAGGCUCACCAAGGCGAUGAUACAUAGCCGACCUGAGAGGGUGAUCGGCCACAUUGGGACUGAGACACGGCCCAAACUCCUACGGGAGGCAGCAGUAGGGAAUCUUCGGCAAUGGACGAAAGGCUGACCGAGCAACGCCGCGUGAGGGAAGAAGGGUUUCGGAUCGUAAAACUCUGUUGGUAGAGAAGAACGUUGGUGAGAGUGGAAGGCCCAUCAAGUGACGGUAACUACCCAGAAAGGGACGGCUAACUACGUG